AACAACCACAUUCACUAAAUACAGUUUAGGUUAUUUUAGGAAACAUGUUAUAUGUUACACCUCCGACUAAACAAAAAAAAGGUACUCUUAAUUAAUUAAAGUCAAUUUCCUCUUCAGAUACUUUACCUCGAAUGCCGCCCAGAGUUUCCGGGACAAUGAAAAUCAGCAUGGCUACAUACACAUCGAAAUCACACUUUAUAUAUUCUCUCACUUCCUUUUAGUGGCACGUUGAAGAGCACCAUUCAGAGCUGACCUCUUUGCCAGGAGAACAGUAUGGUCGUGCUCUGUUGUGUACUCGUCCAAUUUCACAAAGUAAAUAUGUCAUUGCUGUGAUUGCUUACUUAGAAAGAAGCCAGAGAAGAAUUGAGUCCAUGUUAUCUCUGGAGGACCCACUCUCACAAAAUUGCUUCUCCCCCAUGAAAUAGCGAGCAGGAACUCUUCAAUCCAAGAGCUUUUUCACAAAGAACAAGACACAUCAUAGCAAUCUUCAAAGCCCUGUUUGUGGUGCCUUGUGGGACCCCAUGGUACAUUUUCCCUUAAUCAUGUUUUUGUGGGUAUGUCACCAAAUCUUUCCAAAGAGUACUUUAUGUGAGUCUAAUCUAAAUAGAGAUGCAUGUUGAAAAUAAAAGCGCAAAGCCGGCCUUUAUCAUAACAUGUUUGAAGGAAUGAAAGAGGGAUGCUGUGUUCACACGCUGCAAAUGAUUCAUUAAAACUUUUGAUUUCACUAUUGACAAUGUAAAAAAGGUUCAAGGUGGAAUAAAAAGGGUUGAAGCUUUGCAAAAUAACAGUUUUAAUGGUAAGUAUAGAGAUGUAAAAUGUAAAGUUAGUUUAUAAUCACAUCACAAAACAAAAGGAGCAAAGCAAGUUCUGUUUCUGUGUGUAUUUAUUCUUAACGCUACACACACAGAAAGAGGUACGAGAGAAGAACAGUUUUGUACUUAAGGGUACACUUUGGAAGAACGUUCCCUCAAUAAUACAGUAUUGGUCUUUAAGAGGUCAUAAGUGUACCUUUUGACUAACAGAAAGGGUACAAAGUGACUUAAAGCAAAAGAAAGAACAAAUUUGUACCAUUUGAAGGGGUACAUGCAGUAUUCGAAGUAAUUGUAUGUAUUAUAGGCCUAUUAGGCCUAUUAGUAGUUAUAGUUGAGGUAUUUAGAACUAUUAUUAUUAUUAUUAUUGUUAUAAGCCUUUUAUUAUUGGCAACAUUUAGUUUUAGCUCAAUGUGAAGCAUGAGACUAUUUUGUUCUACAAAUCUGUUGACGUGGUGUUUUUGUUUUGAGCUCAGUCAGUUUGGAAAAGCCUGCCUCACACAAGUAUGUGGAGGUAAAAGGAAGGAGAAGUUUUAAAGCCGUAUCCGGAUAUUCCCUCAUCAGUGCCACCCAGAAGAUCACAAGAGAACAAGUGGCAAAAAGAUGCCCCAACCUGCCAUCCCUGUUCAGCUCAAUAAAUUGUCCCUGCAUUUCUGAAGACAGACAAAUAAUUUCCUGUGCAGAUAAAUGGGUCUAAUUACCCACCUGAACUAGUCUUCUAAAAUCACUGUAAAUCACGGUUUGGUGAGCUUUUAUUAAACGGUUACUAAAAUGGUUGCUGUAGCCGUAACCUAGUUGCUGUAGCUGUAACCUAGUAACAUAAAAUGUGAUUAUUUACUGAAAAAAAAUCCUAAUUCUUCUGCCAAAAUAUAGUUCCCCAAGGGAGCACACUGGUUGUCAAGCAACAGCGGCGCACUAAUACCAGAGACGUCAAACUAGUGCCGAGCAGGACAGACAGGAGUCCGUUCACAAAAAAAAGAAAAGUGUCCAUUCACGAUUCAACUGUUCAUUCAGUAGCUAUGUCACUCAGGGGGCUGUCCACGGAGGAACUUUUACAAAAGUUGGUGGUGGAAGGAGGAAUCCACAUUUCAGAAGAGGAGGCUCAGAAAUUUUGAGACAAUGAUGUGGAUGGAGAGACAGUAGACUGCAGACUCACAGAAAAUAUGAUUGCAUAUCUCUUUGACAAGUCUUUCAAAAAGCAGCUAAAAUUCAGAGACUUCACACACCGCUACAAGGAGGUCACCGUUACUUUGGAAUUGGUCAACCCAGAACAACAAACAUGUGAAGCUUCUGUGUCCCCAGCAAACCAGAGGUUGGAGUCUACUUGCCACAGACUGCCUGCAGUCAUUUCCAUUCCACAAUUCCCACAAGAUGUCCAGAGCCGCUUAGAUGCUAAAGAAUCGGUCCACAAGAAACAAAAGUACCGUAACAAAAUAAUUGUGACUCUGUAUGACAUGCUGUCACAGUGUACAAUGUAUCCAACCAACUCGGACUACGUUCAGGUCGUUAAAGCGUUCAUUGGGAAGUACCCUUUCUUAAGGGAUGUACACGGGAAUGGUUAUCAUACCUGGCACAGCCAACUCAAGAGAAAAUUCAAAACAGAACGGGCUCCACUAAUCAACAAUGAGGAAGUAAAACGGGUCAAAGAAAAGUUUCGGCAAGCAAGAUCACUGAAGACCCCAGAAGAAUCUACAUCCACAUGUCCAAAACGACUGAAGCCAUCUCUAGAAUCAUGCAUUGUGGGGGAGGAUGCAACCUCUGUUGAGGCUCAUAUCAAGGUACUGCUUGAGCAAUACAGAAAGUUGCAGCCUGACAUGAAUCUGGUGAAAGACCGCAUGAUGAAAACCUUUGCAUGGAGACGCCGAGAAAUAGCAAAAGGAAUGUCAACUGAAGAUCUGUUGAGGAGAUAUCCAUUCCUAAGAACAUCCGCUGGGUUGUGCGAUGAGGUUGAUGCCAUGCACCCCUCUCCAGUCAACAUAUGCCACCGCAUCAGUGAGAACUUCACAUCUAUUCUCCCAAAUAUGCUGAAACUUGUCAAGGAUUCGCCACUGAAAAAACUAUACAUGGAAGCAAGAGAGGAUGCCUUGGCUGAGGAUAUUAAAAGGAAUUGACUUCAGGGGUGGACUCCUCCUCUUGCCAUCCAUAUUCAAGGAGAAGAUUGAGAAUUUCAUUAUGCUUGGACAGAAAAAUCCAUAACUCCAUACCCAACCGUUCAACUGAAAGCACAAGGGUGGAAAUUUGCCCUCUUCAGACAGUGCCAGAGUGUGGUCAAUGUCGAGGGAAUUGAGGUCUGUUCUUGCACUUCGGUGGAUGAGGCCUUCAUUGCAGCCUUCUGCAUGUACUUUGUCUUCAACAUGGCAUAUCCUGGAUACUUGAAGAAGACACUGACCUUUCUCCAGAGGCUCAUCGCAAACAUCACGGGGGAUGGAGACAAAUCCCUGCCGGUGACUGUAACUCAAAUUGUCAACCUUCUUCACUGAUCAUGCCUGGACUGCAUCAGUGUACAAAAUGCUCAAAGAGGACCUUUACUCUUAGAAAACUGAUUCAUCAUAUUGGACUUGUACAUGCACACGACCCUCAUUUCAACAUAAGCUGUGGGAUAAGUAACUGCCAGUCUGCUAGUAUCAUUCUUUUAGGCGGCAUGUUUAUCGAAAAUUCUUGAAAAUUAAGUUCAUUCUGAACGUUGAGACUUUGUGGGUGUUGUGUGGGAAACUUUUACUGCCUUGCUCUUAUGACAAUCACUUCCAUGCUUACCACGUCAAAGUUGACAAUGACUGGAUUUUACUCAGUCCAGGAAAUGAGUUGGACCAUCAAGCUCUCGACACAUAUUUAGUUGAUGAUAGACUGUAUGUUUCCUUGAGGUAUUCUGUGUAAGUAUGUUCUAUCUAAAUGUGUGUUACUUUUUGAAGUAUUCUGCCUCAUGUUAAUGUGACUGCAAUCUUUACAUAUUGUAAUGUUAUGCAUUGACAUUGAUUCAUUUUAUAUGUAGCUAUAUAGAAUUGAAUGAAUUAAGAUUUUUACACUAUAAAUGCUGCCAUGUUCAUCUCAAAACAUACAUUUUCAUUGAUGUUAAUAAAUGGUAAAGAAGCAAUUAUUGUGUAGACAAUUCUGGUACAUUUGUCUCCUCCAGAAUAGCUUGUCACUGGGGGGGGUACCCUUUUAAAGUACAGGAAAGUACCCUUUCAAUGAGGUACAUUGCUGUACCUUAUAGAUUAAAAGGUACAUUUAUGUCUUGCAGGGUACACAACUGUACUUGAACUGGUACAAUUUGAUAAGGUACAUAAAUGGACUGGGACUGAAAGGUACACAAUUGUCUCUCAAAAGGGUACCUCCCCUGCGACAAGCAUUUGUACCGAUUUAGGUACAAACUGGUACCUCAAUUUUUGAGUGUGUACUGACUAGAAAGUGAUAUUUCAGAUUCAUAACUUGUCUGCCUGAGCUCACUUUGAACCACAUCUGUUCAUACUAUGAAGUAUAAACUAUAUAUA
ensembl:lncRNA